GCGACCUCACCGAGCAACAGUUGCGCAGUCGAGCGUGCGUGUCGCGAGCGAGCGAGCGAGCGCAGAGAUCGGUUAUUCGUCGUUGGUGGAUGUAUAAAUUGACAGAUGCGAUACCGCGCUCGGUUCGUAUCGAUCGCGAUCCGAUCUUCCUCGUUUCUCGUUUGCCUACAUAUCGAACAUUCUCUUUCGGCCGAUGCACGUGUCGCGCGAGGACAACCGGACGAUAAAAUCAUUUUAUCGAGAACAAGCAUCGUCAGUGUUGUCCGAACGAUCGAAACAGACAAGUGUGUUAUAAUAAUAUAAUAACAACGACGAAAAUAAUAGAUCGCUCGAUCGAUCGUACGAUCUACCGAAUGAAAGAGAAAGAACGAAGAACUUGAUUCUCUUUUUUCCUUUUCUUCUUACUGAAUAUUAUUUUGCUGAACGAAGAUUUUGAUGACGAUCGUAUGAUCCUUCGAGGAAGUAUUAUGUUAUAAAAUUAAAUCGAAGGAUACCGUUUCUUCGAUUUUUAACAAUCUCGUAUUUACGAGAUACGACGUACGAGGAUUAACGAUAGAGAUCGUUACAGAGGAUAUCGUUUGCAAGUGUACGAGAGAUCGUCGAAAUCGACAAAGCGACAUUGCACGUGGCAUCGUUUAUUGUCGAUAUUAAAGUUAGGUGACUCGUGUGACGCUACCUUUAGUGCCACUGAUUCAUCUCGGUUUUAUCAAAGGAUCGGCUAUGAGAUUGGCGAGCUCGAACGAAUGAUUGAUUCGUGAAUUUCGUUUUCAGAAGAAAUUACAAGGCGAGAGAGUCGUUCGAAAGGAUUAAAUACGAAGAAAAAGAAGAGGAGGAGAAGGAAG